CGGUGCAGCACUUAAAAAGAAAAGACUGGCAUCACCUUAUCAAAUAUGUCCCGACCCUGACUGCUGUGGUUUUUGUGGAUGGCGGCGUCUGUAUAAAGAGAAAUACCUCAAGCUCAAGGGUUUCCCAAACCUCCGAGAUCUGGGAAUAAGAAACGCCACCUGGAUAGAGCCAAUGCUUGGCCAGAGCCUGACCGAGCAUCUACAGAAUCACCUUACUCACCUUAGCGUAUGCAAGGUCCACCUCCCCUGUACUGUAGUUUAUCUAUGCUGUGUCCAACCUGUUCAACCUACGUCUCCUUUCCCAUCCAAGAAGCGGCGCUAUGCUCGGAGAUGAGGUGCGGCCCGUCCCCAGAAAUGUUUUUCAUCACAUGCUCCUUAGGCUGAAAAAACCGAAGCACUUGUCUUGGAGAAUGAGAGGGGAGCCUUUUACUUCUCUGUCGGAUGAUUACUUCAGCCCCUACAAUCAGCAGCCAGGUGCCAAGCAAUAUGGUGGUCCUGCACUAUCUAGUCUGGAGCUGGUGGACUACCCAGAAACAAUGCUGCCAGAGAACGCCAUGAGGAGCCUCUCCUCACUCCGGUCCCUGACUAUUUGAUACCAGUUCAUCAGAGAUGAAAUCAAGUGUCACCUCAAGUCGUUGUCAAGUCCAUUAGACCAGCUGACAUCUUUCACUAUCAUUGGUUUUUCCAUAUGGAGCCAGAGAAGGAUCUUCUGAUCCUCCACUGAAUGCAGCAUUUGGUGCGAUUGGAUCUUCUGGUGGAGAAGUCCUACAUCCUGAGGGAUUACUUUAACAGUCACCCAUGGCCCAGCCCCAAAGUGCGGGAAUUGAUAAGUGAACUACAAACUCCCCCACUUGUUCUCCCCAAUUGUACUUGGCCAAUUACCCCACUCUUCUGAGCCGUCCUGGUCGCUGCUCCAACCCCUCUGCUGAUCCGGGGAGGGCUGCAGACUACCACAUACCUCCUCCGAUACAUGUGGAGUUGCCAGCUGCUUCUUUUCACCUGAGAGUGAGGCGUUUCGCCAGGGGGACGUAGCGCGUGGAAUGAUCACGCUAUUCCCCCUCCCCCCAAACAGGCACCCCGACCAACCAGAGGCGCUAGUGCAGCGACCAGGACGCAUUCCCACAUCUGGCUUCCCACCCGCAGACACGGCCAAUAUUGUCUGUAGGGACACCUGACCAAGCUGGAGGUAACACAGGGAUUCGAACUUGCGAUCCCCGUGUUGGUAGGUAACGGAAUAGACCGCCAUGCUACCCGGACACGUGAACUAUGAACUUUGUGUGAAAAUAGAAUGUGUCAUCACUGAUAAGCGCCAAAGAGAAACCCCUUACAUGACUGUGACUGCAUGUGGGAAGGGGACCCGAAAGACAUUUGUAAAAGCUGACAAUAGAAUUGAAUUUUUUUUUUUUUUGAGAAGCUGUGAAAGACAGCCUUCUGAAUAAAAUAUAUUUAAGCAAUUGUGAAUCCCUGGCUUACAAGGAUGUCUUUUUAGAGAAAAUCUACUCCAACUUCUUAUGGUCAAGCAAAACAUUUCCAUUUUCAGUAGAUUUUCUUUAAUCACUUAAAAAACUUAAUUGCAGGACAAUCAA